rnacentral:lncRNA from 1 species
UUUUAAUGAUAAUCAAAAUAAUAUAAAGAUACAAAAAGGCAAUAUAUUAAUUAAAAUAUGUAAUGUUAAUCACUGUAACAUUGAAUCCAAUACAUAUCAUCAAAAUAUAAAUAAAAACCAUUCACUAAGUAUGGUUGAUUUUAAAUUUAAAAUAAAAACCGUACACAUUGGACAAUGUGACCGAAUGAUGGCUGCAAUAUCAUGAACUAAUGGAAGAGAUAUACAUCCUCAUGCGGAUCUGAUGAAGUUAUACAGGCAAAAGAGCCACAAUCUUUAGCUAUAUUAUUCACUUGCUUAUCCAUUAAAACUGCCCUCCCAUAACUACUAUUCUUAUUGUUGCUGUCCAACCAUUUUUUUACCCUGCUCCCUUCUUCCCUUCUUGACGAUACCAAGGACCUGUAAAUCAGAAGAUAUCUUAUUAGAACAGCCAAGAAUCCUUCUGAUUAAUCCAAGCCAAUGACUGAGCAGGGGAGAGCAGGAAAUUGGGUAAAAUAUAAGUCAGAACAAGUCAAAUAAGCAACAUCUAAAUUCAUGAUGCAGAGACUGAAAAUAUCUACAACAUUCAAAUAUAUAGAAGGCAUCACCAAAAUUAAAUACGCAAACUAAGGUUGUGGGAAACAUGAUUACCCACCUCCUCAUCAAGACAUUCAAAUUUCCACACACUCUCACCCUCUUUGUUUAUUUCAUUUCACCAUCGUAAUCCUGUCAAGAUGUGUCCACUCACAUUCUUGACUACCCAAAAAUCAAGAGCAGCUAGAAGCACGGUAAAAACAAAAAUAAUGACAAAGCUAUCAAAAAGUAGAGCUGAAAGUAUGUAAAAUGCCAAAGCUGCAGCCUGCCAAAUGAAAGAAUUUAAUGUUAUCCACUAGUAAAAUUUGCAUAUAGAAAUAACAUCACAAAAGAAGAUAAUAAAUGACGUUGAAAAACACGUGGAAGAAACAUAUAUUUGGAUGAGCAUAAUUCUCCCCUGCAGGCUGAUAACAGAAAGAGAGAAACUUAUGAUGAGCAAUCAAGCAAUGUUACUAUUCAUUUAUUUUUAGUGAGUUUGAGAGGGGUGUUGUGCUUAACCAUGACUUACCUACACUACAAAGAAGAGGUAAGUGCCUGUCAAAGACAGCUCAAAUGAUAAACAAUCACUGAAUAGCUUUUAAUGAAAAUCUACCAAACAAGGUUUACAAAUAAAAAUCUAGAUGUUUUACUCCACACUGCAAAUCAGUAACUACAUCCAACUAUAGCCCUGCCUUCAACAUAAAUUUCAUAACAAGAAUACCCAGUUUAAAUCUAGAAUCAACCAAACGAUCUUUAACUGUGCAAAAAUCGUUAAAACACGGCAUCCAAUUCAAUCUCUCGAACAACCAUUGAUAUCUAAGCUCCAUGGUAUUAUCAUCAUGAAAUUCGAACAACAAAAUCACAACUUUUACGAAUUGCUUGAAUUUGAGGGAUUGUUUGAAUUAGUCAUUUUUUGUUCUAUUUAUGACAAACAGAAAUAUACAUACAGGGAUAGUCACUGAUAAAAUAUGGAUGUAAUAACAAAGAAACAACAAAUAUAUAUAAAUGUUCCAACAGAAAUGAAAAAGGGGGAAAACUGGCAUCAUCUCAAAACUCUCCCCAGUACAAGCAACUUAACAUCAUCGCCAUCAAUAUUAAAGUACAGAGAGAUACAGCAGCACAAAAAUAUCAAAGACACGAGCAAAUUGACAACCCAACUUUUUUAUACCCUUGCUCCAUUUCCAUUAUGUCCAUUUGUUCCAUUUACCCCAUUAGACAUCUUUUGAGAAGCAGCAGAUUUCUUCCUCUUCACAACUAGAUACUAGAUCUGGGACUGCACAAGGACAUAAUUUGUAAUGGCUGAACAUUAUUACAUCUGGGGCAAGAAGUUCUAAAGAUUCAAAGCACAUUUUAAUCAGAAAAAGAUUACAUCUAAUAAGUUGGUUAAAGCACAAUUUUAAUCAGAAGUUAAAGAAACAAAACAUUAUAAUAAUUUUGAGCACGCAACAUUUUCAAUUGAGUUUGAACUUUAACUUUACUGUAGAUCUACGAUAUUUCCCUAUAACCCAAUAAAUAAAUUGAUAGCUACUUAAUAAACGAAUUAAUGGUAAACAAAUAACCCAAUUUACAUUUCACACAAUAUUCCCCAUAAAUCCGAUAACAAUCCAACAAAUAAAAAAUCAAUAAAUGAUACCUCUUAGAUGUCUCAAGCGCUGAUUUGGGUC